AUUAUUCCUGGGUUUGAGAGAUUAUACAGAGGCUACUUUAAGAGGCUUAAUGUUCUCCUUGAAGGGCUUUCAACUGGCCUGGCACUUGUCAUUCCAAGCCCUCCCCAUGUGGCGUUAAAGGAGCUACCCUGUGGUAAGAUGUCAGGCGAGGCCGCUGAGCUGACAUAUAGCCACAGAGCACUUGGGUUUAGCAUCCAAUGCGGGAAGGUAGAUGUCUUUGUAGGACAUUUUAGCCUAGUUCAGGGGGAGUGUACCAAAAGAAAAAAAGAGCCCAGGGUGACAGUUUAUUUGGUAAAAGUCCUUUUCUUGCAAGAAUAAGGUCCUGGAUUUUAUUCCCAGAGCCAACCUUCCAAAAGCCAGAUAUAGUGAGUGGUGAAUGCUUUUAAUUCCAACAGCAGGGAGGUUGAGACAGGGGGAUCCUUGGGACCUGUCUGCGAGUCGAGUCAAGCCUAGCUUACUUGGCUGAUUCUGGGCCAGUGAGAAACCCUGGCUAAAAUAAAAAAAAGAAAA
rnacentral:lncRNA from 1 species